GACGAACGCUGGCGGCGUGCCUAAUACAUGCAAGUAGGACGCACAGUUUAUACCGUAGCUUGCUACACCAUAGACUGUGAGUUGCGAACGGGUGAGUAACGCGUAGGUAACCUACCUAUUAGAGGGGGAUAACUAUUGGAAACGAUAGCUAAUACCGCAUAACAGUAUGUAACACAUGUUAGAUGCUUGAAAGAUGCAAUUGCAUCGCUAGUAGAUGGACCUGCGUUGUAUUAGCUAGUAGGUAGGGUAAAGGCCUACCUAGGCAACGAUACAUAGCCGACCUGAGAGGGUGAUCGGCCACACUGGAACUGAGACACGGCCCAGACUCCUACGGGAGGCAGCAGUAGGGAAUCUUCGGCAAUGGGGGGAACCCUGACCGAGCAACGCCGCGUGAGUGAAGAAGGUUUUCGGAUCGUAAAGCUCUGUUGUUAAGGAAGAACGAGUGUGAGAAUGGAAAGUUCAUGCUGUGAC
rnacentral:rRNA from 1 species